rnacentral:rRNA from 1 species
UGGGGAAUAUUGCACAAUGGGCGCAAGCCUGAUGCAGCCAUGCCGCGUGUAUGAAGAAGGCCUUCGGGUUGUAAAGUACUUUCAGUCGGGAGGAAGGUGUCAAGGUUAAUAACCUUGGCAAUUGACGUUACCGACAGAAGAAGCACCGGCUAACUCCGUGCCAGCAGCCGCGGUAAUACGGAGGGUGCAAGCGUUAAUCGGAAUUACUGGGCGUAAAGCGCACGCAGGCGGUUGAUUGAGUCAGAUGUGAAAUCCCCGGGCUUAACCCGGGAAUUGCAUCUGAUACUGGUCAGCUAGAGUCUUGUAGAGGGGGGUAGAAUUCCAUGUGUAGCGGUGAGAUGCGUAGAGAUGUGGAGGAAUACCGGUGGCGAAGGCGGCCCCCUGGACGAAGACUGACGCUCAGGUGCGAAAGCGUGGGGAGCAAACAGG